rnacentral:lncRNA from 1 species
GUCAGGGCAGUUCGCGAUGGCCGCGGCUGGUUCCGCUGCCGUGUCUGGGGCCGGGACCCCAGUGGCGGGGCCCACAGGCCGCGACCUCUUUGCCGAGGGGCUCCUGGAGUUCCUGCGACCUGCUGUGCAGCAACUCGACUCUCACGUGCACGCGGUCAGAGAAAGCCAAGUAGAGCUCCGGGAACAAAUUGACAACCUAGCUACAGGUGAGUGAGCACCCAAAAUACCUAGAAUCCCUGAUCUCGCUUUCAGGAACUGUUUUCCCAGGUUAGGCUAGGUUUCUGUCACUUGCUUCUCAAUAUCAGAACUACCCACGGACUCCGGGGAUAUUUUUAAGACAGAAUGGAAGAAGGGAAGGUGUGGAUCGCACAAGGCUGCAAGAGUAUUUUUCAUCCCAUUCCUUUCUUACGUUCCCUAAGAACAAAAAAAUGAGCCAUUAGAUGUUGGUUGCACAUUUCCUCUUUACAGAACUGUGCCGGAUCAAUGAGGAUCAGAAGGUGGCCCUGGAUCUGGACCCCUAUGUUAAGAAGCUGCUUAAUGCCAGGCGGCGAGUUGUCUUGGUCAACAAUAUUUUACAGAAUGCACAGGAACGACUAAGGCGGUUAAACCACAGUGUGGCCAAGGAAACAGCCCGCAGGAGAGCCAUGCUGGAUUCAGGAGUUUACCCUCCUG